rnacentral:misc_RNA from 1 species
GAAAUGUGAUAAGUAGUAUGAAUUAUAGAAUUUAGUGAAUUAUUGAAUCUUUGAACGCAUAUUGCGCCCUUUAGUAUUCCUUAGGGCAUGCCUGUUUGAGCGUCAUUUACACCUUUAAGCUCUACUUAGUGUUAGGCGUCUAUCCCUACCCCCUAGGGCGUUGGGACUCGCCUUAAAUUAAUUAGUGGCUGGUACUGUGGCUUUGAGCGUAGCACACUAGCGACCUCAUUGCUAGAGCGUAUUAGCUCCUAGGAAGCCCAUUUUCUCAUGUUUUGACCUUAGAUUAGGUAGGGAUACCCGCUAAACUUAAGC